UACGUAGGCAGCAAGCGUUGUUCGGAGUUACUGGGCGUAAAGGGUGUGUAGGCGGUUGGAUAAGUGUGGUGUCGAAAUCUCCCGGCUUAACUGGGAGGGUGCGCUACAAACUGUCUGACUAGAGUGUGGGAUGGGUAAGUGGAAUUCUGGUGUAGCGGUGAAAUGCGUAGAUAUCAGGAGGAACACCGGUGGUGUAGACGGCUUACUGGACCAUAACUGACGU
rnacentral:rRNA from 1 species